UGGGCAACCUGCCCCUCUCUCUGGGAUAACCCCGGGAAACCGGAGCUAAUACCGGAUACUCCGGCUGGAUCGCAUGGUCCGGCCGGGAAAGGUCCGCCGGAGAGGGAUGGGCCCGCGGCCUAUCAGCUUGUUGGUGGGGUCAUGGCUCACCAAGGCGACGACGGGUAGCUGGUCUGAGAGGACGACCAGCCACACUGGAACUGAGAUACGGUUCAGACUCCUACGGGAGGCA
rnacentral:rRNA from 1 species